GUGAGCAAGUUCGGUGCCGCGGGCUGGGAUUAGAAUUACUUGUUAUUGGUAAAUAGCCACUAUGGAGACUAAGGACCAGAAGAAACAAAGAAAGAAAAAUAGUGGACCCAAAGCUGCAAAGAAAAAGAAGCGGCAUCUGCAGGAUCUCCAGCUAGGAGACGAAGAAGAUGCCUGGAAGAGAAAUCCCAAAGCUUUUGCAUUUCAGUCUGCUGUGUGGAUGGCUCGAUCCUUUCACAGGACUCAGGAUUUGAAGACAAAAAAGCAUCAUAUUCCAGUGGUUGAUCGAACUCCACUAGAGCCCCCACCAAUAGUGGUAGUGGUGAUGGGGCCUCCAAAGUUGGAAAGAGCACUUUGAUACAAUGCCUCAUUCGGAACUUCACCCGGCAGAAGUUGACCGAGAUCAGAGGCCCUGUGAUGAUCGUGUCAGGUAAAAAGCUCCGACUCACCAUUAUUGAAUGUGGGUGUGACAUUAACAUGAUGAUUGAUCUGGCUGAAGUAGCAGAUCUGGUACUGAUGCUUAUAGAUGCCAGCUUUGGGUUUGAAAUGGAAACGUUUGAGUUUCUAAACAUCUGUCAAGUACAUGGCUUUCCUAAAAUUAUGGGAGUUCUCACCCACCUCGACUUCUUCAAACACAAUAAGCAACUGAAGAAGACAAAGAAGCGAUUAAAACACAGGUUCUGGACAGAAGUUUACCUGGUUGCCAAGCUGUUCUGCCUUUCUGGAAUGGUGCAUGGAGAAUAUCAAAACCAAGAAAUGCACAAUCUGGGCCAUUUUAUUACAGUUAUGAAGUUUAGGCCUCUCACAUGGCAGACUUCUCAUCCUUAUAUCCUGGCAGACAGGGUGGAAGAUUUGACAAACCCAGAGGAUAUCCAAACAAACAUCAGAUGUGACCAGCAGAUGUUACUUUACGGUUAUUUAAGAGGAGCGCACUUGAAAAAUAAAAGCCAAAUUCACAUGCCAGGACGAGGUGGGGCCCACCCAUGAGCUGGUCCAGAGUCUCAUCUCCACCCACUCCACCAUUGAUGCCAAGAUGGCUUCAAGUCGAGUGAUGUUGUUUUCUGAUUCCAAGCCACUUGGGUCAGAGGCUAUAGAUAAUCAAGGGGACGAGUUCUCACUAUGUUGCCCAGGCUGGCCUCGAACUCCUGGGCUCAAGCAAUCCUCCUGCGUUGGCCUCCCAAAGUCCUGGGAUUACAGGUGUAAGCCACUACGGCUGGCCUAUUAUUGCUGUAUUCUAACUUAUUCAUCUCCUAUGUGUCAGAGAUGGCUUUGGAUUCCCCGUUCUGUGUGCUGCUGUCUGGCUCCUGAACCCAGCUGUAGAGGUGUGUCAAUCCCAACUGGUGAAGUACUGAGAGGAAGCUACACAAAAGGCAGCAAAGUAUUAGUGAGUGGUGUCAUUGAGCAAACACGAAGUCGGGCUCAUCCAAGGAUGAGAUUUUGCCAGAGAAAGGACGAGCAGCAAGUCAGGGAGCUUAAGCGUCAGCCUCGAGUUUGACCAGCAACAGGGGUCGGUGUGUCCCUCUGAAUCUGAGAUCUAUGAGGCAGGAGCUGGGGACAGGAUGGCAGGAGCGCCCAUGGCUGCUGCUGUGCAGCCUGCUGAGGUGACCGUUGAAGUUGGUGAGGACCUCCACAUGCACCACAUUCGUGACCAGGAGAUGCCUGAAGCUUUGGAGUUUAGCCUUUCUGCCAAUCCAGAGGCAAGCACAAUAUUCCAGAGGAACUCUCAAACAGAUGCUUUGGAGUUUAACCCUUCUGCCAAUCCAGAGGCAAGCACAAUAUUCCAGAGGAACUCUCAAACAGAUGUUGUAGAAAUAAGAAGAAGCAACUGUACAAACCAUGUAUCUACUGAGCGUUUCAGUCAACAAUACAGCUCGUGUUCGACAAUAUUCCUUGAUGACAGCACAGCCAGCCAGCAUUAUCUUACAAUGACAAUAAUAUCUGUGACCUUGGAGAUACCUCAUCAUAUCACACAAAGAGAUGCAGAUAGAUCUUUGAGCAUACCUGAUGAACAGUUACACUCAUUUGCGGUUUCCACCGUGCACAUUACGAAGAACAGAAAUGGAGGUGGGAGUUUAAAUAACUAUUCCUCCUCCAUUCCAUCGACUCCCAGCACCAGCCAGGAGGACCCUCAGUUCAGUGUUCCUCCCACUGCCAACACACCCACCCCCGUUUGCAAGCGGUCCAUGCGCUGGUCCAACCUGUUUACAUCUGAGAAAGGGAGUCACCCAGACAAAGAGAGGAAAGCCCCGGAGAAUCAUGCUGACACCAUCGGGAGCGGCAGAGCCAUCCCCAUUAAACAGGGCAUGCUCUUAAAGCGAAGUGGGAAAUGGCUGAAGACAUGGAAAAAGAAAUACGUCACCCUGUGUUCCAAUGGCGUGCUCACCUAUUAUUCAAGCUUAGGUGAUUAUAUGAAGAAUAUUCAUAAAAAAGAGAUUGACCUUCGGACAUCUACCAUCAAAGUCCCAGGAAAGUGGCCAUCCCUAGCCACAUCGGCCUGUGCACCCAUCUCCAGCUCUAAAAGCAAUGGCCUAUCCAAGGACAUGGACACCGGGCUGGGUGACUCCAUAUGCUUCAGCCCCAGUAUCUCCAGCACCACCAGCCCCAAGCUCAACCCGCCCCCCUCUCCUCAUGCCAAUAAAAAGAAACACCUAAAGAAGAAAAGCACCAACAACUUUAUGAUUGUGUCUGCCACUGGCCAAACAUGGCACUUUGAAGCCACGACGUAUGAGGAGCGGGAUGCCUGGGUCCAAGCCAUCCAGAGCCAGAUCCUGGCCAGCCUGCAGUCAUGCGAGAGCAGUAAAAGCAAGUCCCAGCUGACCAGCCAGAGCGAGGCCAUGGCCCUGCAGUCGAUCCAAAACAUGCGUGGGAACGCCCACUGUGUGGACUAUGAGACCCAGAAUCCUAAGUGGGCCAGUUUGAACUUGGGAGUCCUCAUGUGUAUUGAAUGCUCAGGAAUCCACCGCAGUCUUGGCACCCGCCUUUCCCGUGUGCGAUCUCUGGAGCUGGAUGACUGGCCAGUUGAGCUCAGGAAGGUUAUGUCAUCUAUUGGCAAUGACCUAGCCAACAGCAUCUGGGAAGGGAGCAGCCAGGGGCAGACAAAACCCUCAGUAAAGUCCACGAGGGAAGAGAAGGAACGGUGGAUCCGUUCCAAAUAUGAGGAGAAGCUCUUUCUGGCCCCACUACCCUGCACUGAGCUGUCCCUGGGCCAGCACCUGCUGCGGGCCACCGCUGAUGAGGACCUGCAGACAGCCAUCCUGCUGCUGGCACAUGGCUCCCGUGAGGAGGUGAACGAGACCUGUGGGGAGGGAGACGGCUGCACGGCGCUCCAUCUGGCCUGCCGCAAGGGGAAUGUGGUCCUGGCACAGCUCCUGAUCUGGUACGGGGUGGACGUCAUGGCCCGAGAUGCCCACGGGAACACAGCGCUGACCUACGCCCGGCAGGCCUCCAGCCAGGAGUGCAUCAACGUGCUUCUGCAGUACGGCUGCCCCGACGAGUGCGUGUAGUAUCUGUUUUAUUUGACUGCAGUCUCCUUGGUGCAAAAACAAAAUGGGAAAAAUAAGGAUAACUCAGAAUUUCAAAAGGAAAUCACAAAUUCAGCUAGUAAUAGCAUUUUCAGUACUUUUCAUAAACUAAGUAAAUACACAAAAUGUUGAUUUUUCUGACCAUAAGACAUAUUUUAUGUCCUUUUGCCAAGGUGGAUGUGUUAGUCUCAGGCCCUCCUGGCCACAUUGCCCAAGUCACACAGGCUUCUGUAUUAUGUAUUUAGAUAAAAUGUGUGAAAAUAUAUUUGAAAAAAAAGUUCAUAAA
rnacentral:lncRNA from 1 species